GUCUUUCUAAAGGAGAACAAGGUAAAUCCUUAUAAGAAUGAACAAUGCCAGCUGAUCGGGCAGCAUGUCAAAAGAAAUUCAGCAUUAAAUGAUCAACCCAUGAUAUUUAGUGACUGUGAUAUUUUACCAGGUGGGUGUCAUAGUGACUGAUGGUGACAGGACUGUCAUUGUCUCAGUGACUCCCCGUAAAAGCCUCUGUGAUGGAAAGUUUCACCAGGAUUCAGUGUCCAAACAACGUGACGUUUUCAAACUAGUGAUGGGCUCCACUUCUCAGCAGAAAGCCGCCCCCUUCACCUCCACCUCAACAACACUGGAUACACUUUACAUAAGAGGGACAAAAAAGCAGAAACGAGCACCCUGCCCUCGCCAUUUUGUAGGCUGCUUACAAAAUGUGAAGCUUAAUGGAAUACCGGUUGCAUUUGAAAAAGGAUCCAGGGUUGUUGACCCUGUCAGCAUUAAUAGUUGCCCUGGAGACUAAGGUUAUUAAACGGGUGACACAACAACUUCUUUCACUGCACAGGCGCUUCUGUAUCAUUACAAAGUCAUAUCAUGCAGAUCAUGCAGACAGGCUUAGUUAAAAACCCACAGAAAUUAAUU